UACGGGGGGGGCAAGCGUUGUUCGGAAUUACUGGGCGUAAAGGGCCAGUAGGCGGCCAACUAAGUCGGAUGUGAAAACCCGAGGCUCAACCUCGGGCCUGCAGUCGAUACGGGCAAACUAGAGUACUGCAGGGGAGACUGGAAUUCCUGGUGUAGCGGUGAAAUGCGCAGAUAUCAGGAGGAACACCGGUGGCGAAGGCGGCUCUCUGGGACGUGACUGACGCUGAGACGGCGAAAGCGUGGGGAGCGAACAGG
rnacentral:rRNA from 1 species